GAUGAACGCUGGCGGCGUGCCUAAUACAUGCAAGUCGAGCGAACAGACGAGGAGCUUGCUCCUCUCACGUUAGCGGCGGACGUGUGAGUAACACGUGGAUAACCUACCUAUAAGACUGGGAUAACUUCGGGAAUCCGGAGCAAAUAGCGGAGAGUAUCUUGAUCCGCAUGGUUCAAUAGAGAAAUACGGUUUUUCUGUCAGGUAUCGAUGGUUACCCGCGGCAUUAGCGAGUUGUUGAGUUAACGGGUUUGCACGGCAACGAUGCGUAGCCGACGUGUCGGGGUGGUCGCCCACCUGGGAACUGGAACACGGUCCAGACUCCUAAGGGAGGCAGCAGUAGGCAAUCGUCCGCAAUGGGCGAAAGCUUGACGGAACAACGGCGAGUGAGUGAUGACGGUCUUCGGAUCGUAAUACUGUGUUACUAGGGAAAAACAACUGUGUAAGUAACUAUGCACGUCUUGACGGUAACUAAUAAGAAAGCCACGGCUAACUACGUG
rnacentral:rRNA from 1 species